UACGGAGGGUGCAAGCGUUAAUCGGAAUUACUGGGCGUAAAGCGCACGCAGGUGGCUGAGAAAGUCGAUUGUGAAAGCCCUGGGCUUAACCUGGGAAUUGCAGUCGAAACUACUCGGCUAGAGUAUGGGAGAGGACAGUGGAAUUCCCGGUGUAGCGGUGAAAUGCGUAGAUAUCAGGAGGAACACCGGUGGCGAAGGCGGGUCUCUGGGCCGAUACUGACGCU
rnacentral:rRNA from 1 species